rnacentral:rRNA from 1 species
UACGCCCGAUCUCGUCCGAUCCCGGAAGCUAAGCAGGGCCGGGCCUGGUUAGUACUUGGAUGGGAGACCGCCUGGGAAUACCAGGUGCUGUAAGCUUAGCUUACGGCCAUACCAGCCUG